GCCAAUUCCCUCUCGUUUUCGUGUCGAAGCUCUGUGCAAAAACCCCCGAAGCUACCCCGAAGUCCCGGUAUCAUACUCUAGCCCCGAGGCAAGUCCCGAGAUCCCGAAGAUCCCGAGAAGUGCGGUUCCCGAGUCGAAGCUCUGCCCGCGAGAAGUUCGAUUUUCGAGGAGAUCUUCCAGAUCUGCUGAGGAAUACUACUUCUAUAAGCCGUAGUGCUGUCGGAUCAUCUUCUGAUCAAGUGAGUGUAUACUAACUUUCUUAAACACAAUAAUAAUACGAGUUUGGUUCGAGUGUAUUAAUUAUAUUGUUGUUUAUAAGUGUGAGUGUGUAGUUAUUUUCUUUCUAAUACAAUAAUACGAAGUAUUUUAUAUAAAAAUACGUGCUAUGUGUAUAUAUUUGGUUGUGUUAUGUGUGAAUGAGUAUUCACUCUCUUCUAUCUUAUAGAUCUGCUUAUUUCUUUAUGAGAUAUGUGUUAUGUGUGUGUGUGCCUCAUCUGUUAUGUGAUAUAUGUGUUGAUUAAAGCAUGCUAUACAGGUUUUCUUUAAACUAUGUAUACAAAUGUAUAUUUUUAUCUACUAAUAUGUUGGGUAGAACAUGGGUAGACAGUUGGUGUGUAAUAAACAGAUGAGAGGCCUCGUUGUUGUUUGAUUGAGUCAUCUAGCGGAGUUUAGAUGACGACCACUGGCUAUUCUAGACAGUCUUGUGGAAACAUUAGCAGGUUCGCCACCUGUAGGUGUUAAUGAACUUGGGUGUUCAUUCGCUGUACUCCAUCCCCCUCAUGGUUGCCUUAUUUGACUUAUAUUGCUGAGGUACCCCCGAAGCAUGUGUUGUCGCCCCGAUGAAAUAUUCUUAGACUAGGUCCCUUAUGUUAGUUGUUUUAGGGACAUUAAAGUGAGAAUAACGGGAAUGGGUAAUUGGGUUAUUGUUGGUUGGUGAAAAUUAAAUAUGAUAUUUAUUGUGGGUUGAAAACCCUAUAUGCUCACCAGGCUCCCAAGCCUGACCCACUCAGUUUUAAAUUGUAUUACAGGUAGUGGCGGAAGGGCAUGAGAUGGAUGAACCAUCAAGUUGUUUUGUUUACAAGUCUGCAUAUGUUUAUAUUUGUUAUAUGACUUGUAAUGUAUUCGUUUAUGCUUAUUGGUCUGUAUCGGAACAUGACACCCCGAGUUUUGAUUAUAAUGAAAAUACAUUUCUUUUAUGAAAUGCUUCGGUAAACAAUGUUUUAUCAUGUUUUGUUUUUGGGAACAAAUUCCGCAACUCUUUCAAAUCAAAAGGAUUUACUCUGAAAAUAUUUAAAAGCAUAAAUGAAAAUCGGUCUUUUCUGGCCGAGAUUUUGGGGAUGUCACAGUUGGUAUCAGAGCAUUAGUUUAAGCGAACUAGGAAUUUGUAGGAUUUCUAGACUUAAACUUAGAAUGCUAAGUGAAGUUUUGAGAUGUGUGUCUGUUGUGAUUUAGACACGAGCACUAGUUUAUUUUAGGAAAGUUGCCUAAAAUGCUUUAUGUGCUAAAUGUUAUAUGUUGCCAUAUAUGAUAUUAUUUGUUCGGAUCUAUGGUCUGUUGCCGACCGGAUCUAGAAACCUUAUGUGUGUAGGAUUCUAAGCGUACGUCUACGAUAUUAGAACUAGCAUGUAAACGUUUCGGAGUGAUAAGGAUGAUUUGAAUAUCUAUCAUGAUUGAGGAUCUAAUUUCACCUUAUUCGGUGUAGAUCAAAAUGGUGAGAACAAGAAGUGGAGUUGGAAAUGCUGACGAAAACAGGAAUCAACCACCAGUGAUUGAGCCAAUACCUGUCGUAGCAGCAGCACCUGAGCCAAUAACCAUGGCUGGUGUGCAAUUGAUGAUUCAGACGAUGUUGGAUCGUCAGAUGGAUGAAACUAGACGGUUGCUUCAACAAAAUCGUGAAGAACUGUCGAUUCGUGUGGAAGAGCCUGAACUGAAUGAAGGGCACUCGGAAGGUGGAAACUUCAGUGGGUCUGUUGGUCCAGCCAACCCACCGAUAGUUAGGCAAGAUAACCAUGAUGGAAGGAAUGAUGGAAUGGGAUGCAAGUACAAGGACUUUUUGACUUGUAAACCAUCGACCUUCAAUGGAAAGGAGGAUCCGAUUGGGGUUAUGGAUUGGAUCUCCGAAAUGGAGUUAGCCUUUAUGACAUGUGGCUGUAGAGGCAAGUUGCAGACUAUCUAUGCCGUGCGACAAUUCCGAGGUGGAGCCGUUCGUUGGUGGAACACUCUAGGGAAGACCUUAAGCCCUAAUGAGCCACUGCAAUUGUCAUGGGCAGAGUUCUUGGUGCAGUUCAAGCGCAAGUUCUGCUCGGCUCAAAAUCUGUUGGAGUUGGAGAACAAGUUUUUGACAUUGACGAAGGGUAGCAUGUCAGUGGAUGAGUACACCAAUAACUUCACCGAUAAGAUGGAGUUUGCCUUGCGUAUCGUUCCAGACGAGCUGACAAAGGUGGAUCGGUAUGCGAAGGGACUUCCAUGGGAGUACGAGGUGCCGGUACGUCAGGCACUUACUCUAGAGGCAGCUAUCUGGGCUGCCAAGUCUGUGGAGAACAUGAUCAAGGGGAGAACCACCGUCAAGGUUGAGGUUGGUGAGAAAAGGAAGUUUGAAGGAACAUCUGGUUCCAGUAAGAAGAGCAAAUUUUCGAAAUCUGAUUCGAAAAAGUUUGGAGGAAAAGGAGGCGAAGCAAAGUGGUGUGAUAAGUGUAAGAAAAAGCACUUUGGGAAAUGUAGCGAGGAUGUGACCUGCUACAAGUGUGGAAAGGUUGGACAUUUUGCCAAUGAAUGUCCGAACAACAAAAGGAUGUGUUUUGGGUGUAAUGAAGAGGGGCAUAUUUUGAAAGACUGUCCGAAGAAGAAGGAGGCAGCUAGGCCCAACAUUCCACCAAAGCCGAAGGCGAGAGCCUUCCAGAUGACACUUGAGGCUGCGAAAGAUGAAGCUGAUGUCGCUUCAGGUACCUUUCUCGUAAACGAAUUACCUGCUCAUAUAUUGUUUGAUUCUGGAGCCAACUACUCCUUUAUUUCGCAUGAGUUUGGUAGAAAGCUAGCUUUGCCUGUUGAUAGACUAGAUAAUGCUUUAUUAGUCGAAGUAGCUAGUGGCAAGUUUGUACCUGUUAGCCAUCGUAUGAAAAACGUCUUGAUCGACCUUAAUGGGAAUAAGUUUCUCGAGGAAUUAUUGCCUAUCGAACUAAAUGGUUUCGACAUCGUCUUGGGAAUGGAUUGGCUUAGCGCCAAUGAUGCCGAAAUUUUGUGCAAGAAGAAGAUAGUUAAAGUAAACCCGCCUGGGAAAGAUUCGUUUAUGGUGUAUGGGGACAAACGCAGAGUGAAUUCUGGAAUCAUUUCUCUAAUGAAAGCCAGAAAGUGUUUGACCAAGGGAUGUACAUCAUAUUUAGCAUUCGUGAUUGAUGCUAAGAAAGAAAAGAAGGUGAUGCAGAGCAUUCCAGUGGUGUGUGAUUAUCCGGAAGUAUUUCCCGAGGAUCUUCCUGGAUUACCACCUGAUAGACAAGUGGAGUUCAGAAUAGACUUGUUACCAGGAACCACGCCAAUAGCAAAAGCACCUUAUCGAUUAGCACCGACGGAGAUGAAGGAGCUGAUGAUGCAACUUCAGGAGUUAUUGGACAAAGGUUUCAUUAGACCUAGUUCAUCGCCCUGGGGAGCUCCGGUGUUAUUUGUAAAGAAGAAAGAUGGAAGUAUGAGAAUGUGCAUCGAUUACAGAGAGCUGAACAAGGCAACAAUAAAGAAUAGAUAUCCGUUGCCGAGGAUUGAUGACCUGUUUGAUCAAUUGCAAGGUUCGAGCUAUUUCUCGAAGAUCGAUCUUAGGUCAGGAUAUCAUCAGCUGAAAGUAAGAGAGCAAGAUAUCGAGAAGACUGCAUUCAGAACUAGAUAUGGACACUACGAGUUCUUGGUUAUGUCGUUUGGACUAACCAAUGCUCCAGCAGCGUUCAUGGAUUUGAUGAAUAGGGUUUGUAAUCCUUUCCUUGAUAAAUCCGUGAUAGUGUUCAUAGACGACAUUCUGAUCUACUCGAAAAGCCAGGAGGAGCAUGGCAGACACUUGCGAGAAGUGUUAGAAGUUUUGAAGAAGGAGAAGCUUUAUGCGAAGUUCUCCAAAUGUGAUUUUUGGAUUCGUGAGGUCCAAUUCUUGGGUCACGUGGUCAACCAAGAAGGGAUAAUGGUUGAUCCAGCGAAGAUCGAAGCUGUGACGAAGUGGGAACAACCGAAAAGUCCCACGGAGAUUCGAAGCUUUUUANUAACGGGAAUGGGUAAUUGGGUUAUUGUUGGUUGGUGAAAAUUAAAUAUGAUAUUUAUUGUGGGUUGAAAACCCUAUAUGCUCACCAGGCUCCCAAGCCUGACCCACUCAGUUUUAAAUUGUAUUACAGGUAGUGGCGGAAGGGCAUGAGAUGGAUGAACCAUCAAGUUGUUUUGUUUACAAGUCUGCAUAUGUUUAUAUUUUUUAUAUGACUUGUAAUGUAUUCGUUUAUGCUUAUUGGUCUGUAUCGGAACAUGACACCCCGAGUUUUGAUUAUAAUGAAAAUACAUUUCUUUUAUGAAAUGCUUCGGUAAACAAUGUUUUAUCAUGUUUUGUUUUUGGGAACAAAUUCCGCAACUCUUUCAAAUCAAAAGGAUUUACUCUGAAAAUAUUUAAAAGCAUAAAUGAAAAUCGGUCUUUUCUGGCCGAGAUUUUGGGGAUGUCACAACGCGCCUUCCACUUCGCAUGCAUGGUCCUUCCUUUUCAACUUUUUCCAUUAGGGACCAUUAAUGCCAAUAACUUCCAAGUGUCAUAUCUUCUGUAACACAAAAAUUCUAUUCUUUCUAAAACUACAUUAUAUUUCUGAAAGAACCAAACUUUCAUACUUCACAAUAUUUGUACUCCAAAACAUGCUACAUGCAUAUUUAUAAAUAUAUUA
rnacentral:lncRNA from 1 species